CCCGACUGCUAUUUGGGUGAGGAUAAGCCAUGCGAGUUGAAUGGGAAACCUAAAGUUCCCAUGGCAAACUGCUCAGUAACACAUGAUCAACUUACCCUAUAGAGAAAAAUAACCUCGGGAAACUGAGGAUAAUGUUUCAUAGUUGAAUUGGCUUGGAAAAGUUUUUCGACGAAAGGGGGUAAAAAAAAUGGUUUUUAUCUGCUAUAGGAUAGGAUCGUGUUCGAUUAUGGUUGUUGGUGAGGUAAUGGCUCACCAAGCCGAUAAUCGAUAGGGGCCGUGAGAGCGGGAGCCCCGAGAUGGGUACUGAGACAACGACCCAGGCCUUACGAGGCGCAGCAGGCGCGAAACCUCCGCAAUACACGAAAGUGUGACGGGGUUACCCAAAGUGUUCAAUUUUGAACUGUGGUAGGUGAGUAAUGUUCCCUACUAGAAAGGAGAGGGCAAGGCUGGUGCCAGCCGCCGCGGUAAAACCAGCUCUUCAAGUGGUCGGGAUAAUUAUUGGGCUUAAAGUGUCCGUAGCCGGUUUAGUAAGUUCCUGGUAAAAUCGGGUAGCUUAACUAUCUAUAUGCUAGGAAUACUACUAUACUAGAGGGCGGGAGAGGUCUGAGGUACUGCAGGGGUAGGGGUGAAAUCUUAUAAUCCUUGUUGGACCACCAGUGGCGAAGGCGUCAGACUGGAACGCGCCUGACGGUGAGGGACGAAAGCCAGGGGAGCGAACCGGAUUAGAUACCCGGGUAGUCCUGGCCGUAAACGAUGCAUACUAGGUGAUGGCAUGGCCAUGAGCCGUGUCAGUGCCGUAGGGAAACCGUUAAGUGUGCCGCCUGGGAAGUACGGUCGCAAGGCUAAAACUUAAAGGAAUUGGCGGGGGAGCACCACAAGGGGUGAAGCCUGCGGUU
rnacentral:rRNA from 1 species